rnacentral:SRP_RNA from 1 species
GUCGAGCUAAGUAACGAGAGCUUGUGACCCUAGUGGGGACAGUAAGGUGGUGGGACACUGGUUCGGUUCCUCAGGUCGGUUCUGAUGCUGGCAUGUUUCUGAGCUGCCCAGUCCAAGCUGUGAGUAGUCCGUCUGGAUCGAGCGAAGGCUUGGCUCAGUUGGAUUCUAAAGUUGGAGGGUAAUGCGUGAGGCUGGUUUCACAGAGCAGCGACCACUUCCCGCUUACAGCAGUGGACGGAUCACGGCUCAGCGUCACUCAGGAUCACUAUGACCUGCUGGUUCGAUCUCAGCUGAACAACCAUUUUU